AUUGAACGCUGGCGGCAUGCCUUACACAUGCAAGUCGAACGGUAACAGGUCUUCGGAUGCUGACGAGUGGCGAACGGGUGAGUAAUACAUCGGAACGUGCCCGAUCGUGGGGGAUAACGGAGCGAAAGCUUUGCUAAUACCUCAUACGAUCUACGGAUGAAAGCAGGGGACCGCAAGGCCUUGCGCGGACGGAGCGGCCGAUGGCAGAUUAGGUAGUUGGUGGGAUAAAAGCUUACCAAGCCGACGAUCUGUAGCUGGUCUGAGAGGACGACCAGCCACACUGGGACUGAGACACGGCCCAGACUCCUACGGGAGGCAGCAGUGGGGAAUUUUGGACAAUGGGCGAAAGCCUGAUCCAGCCAUGCCGCGUGAAGGAUGAAGGCCUUCGGGUUGUAAACUGCUUUUGUACGGAACGAAAAGACUCUUUCUAAUAAAGAGGGUCCAUGACGGUACCGUAAGAAUAAGCACCGGCUAACUACGUG
rnacentral:rRNA from 1 species